AGUGCUGUAUUGUUGAGUUUUGUAUGAACUAAUCUAGCUUCUCUAAAAAAAAAAGAAAAAAGAAAAGAAAGAAAGAAAGAAAAAGAAAAGAAAAGAAAAAAAAAAGAACCACAGCUUUGGACAAAAGUCUAUAGCCAGUGCAUUUGAAACUCCCCUUGCACCAGGGCUGACUGUAGCUGGGGGAAGACAUUUUACUCAUUUGCUCUUUCCUUUCAUACAGUCAGCUGGUCCCUCUUCUCAGGUGUAGAUCACCUAUUCUAAUUUUACCUAAUUUUGAUACUCUGAUAAGGAAAGUCCCAGGACUUAUCAGCUGGGAUAGGCCUCACUUACAAGACAGCUCUGUUCAGUAUUUGGAAGAAAGCCUGACAGGUUUCUUCGGAAAAGUGGCCAUCCAUGGAAUGAAUGAAAUGUUCUCUUUCUAUUCCAGGGAUUGCAGUGGCAAAGCUAGGCUAGGUCUUGGAGGCUGGUGUAAGGCGAUGCGGGUGAAGGCAGGAGGCUGAUGGAGAGACUGGGGGGAAGAAAAGCCGAAAUGGAUUCACGGUGCCUUGGAUGAAGGACGAGAGGGGAACUGCAAGCUCCUUCAACUGGUUCUGUCCGGUGAGAAGUGAUCAAGCUUGGGCUGACAAGAGGCUCAGGGAGCCCUCACGUUCUUUCGCUUUUUUACCUGCCAAUCAAACUGCUACAAGACAACACCCUGAUCUGGCAUGGACAUCGCGGGUCCAAGCCUGUAGCCCCAAAUCGGAUAAUCUCUGCAGCUGAUAACAAGCAAAAGAGAAGCCAGGCAACAGCCAUAUUAAAGAAGAAAACAGUCAACUCUGAGAUCCAACUUAGAAAUAAUGUUUCAUUCAAGAUAAGGCUCGUGGUUUAGGAGAUUGUGACCUGGCUUGCAUCAUUCUAAGACUUCUAUCGUCUGUUUUCAAAACCCAAGGAGGACCUCAUUUUCUGUGUGAUAGUUCCUCAUGCUUUGCCAGCCACUGGGUCUUUAAGGAAGCUUGCCAAGAGUUCCCGGCUGGGAAGGACAGUUCGAGUUCAUCAUAGACAAUGAGCUGGCACCACAGUUUAAGUGACUCACCAACCUGGUUGCCCACUUCAAAAUGUCAAGAACCACACUAUCUAAUUGAAAGAACUGUGUUUUAGCAAAGUGUAAUUGGAUCGCCUGGCAAGAUCAUCUCAAACUAUGUCUCUGACCUUGCCUUUCAGUGGCUAUUUUGAGCACAAGAGGAGAAAGGAAAUGAUUCCUGAAUUAUAUCUUGUUUUUAAAAAUUAAGAUUAAUUAAUACUUGGUUUUAUGUUCAUUCCAUUGUGGGAACUUAGUGAUUAUUACAAAACAGUCAAAAUAGGUCAUAGCAAAAUGAACCUUUAAGAUUAGGUUAAAACAUUCCUCUGAAAUUUUAGUAUUCACUUUUGAAGUGUCAAUUACUAUAUUUCUGUAAUUUCUCAUUUUUUUCUUGGCUUAGAGUCAAGAUGAAAAAUGAUAUUUGAAUCAAAGACAUUGUUUUGUUAUAUAGCCACUCCUUUCUAAAAUGCAAAUCCACCCUCCCCUCACCAAUGCUUUAUUCUUUGUGCACACACACACACACACACACACACACACACACACACAGACAUACACAGAACCAGCACCCAAAUGGUAGAGGAGGUCCUUCCAAGACUUCUAGGACCUGGAUCAUGUAAGCAGUAGAUGAGAAAAUGAAGUAAGAGAUAUAGAGCAAUAACAAUAAAAGUCAAUGAUUUCAUUUUACAAAAAAGUCAUUGUGUAGUACUCAGAUAUUUUUAAGAGCAAGUAUUAUUAUGACUAAAGUAUAUUAUACUUCUAAAUUAUUAUGAUUCUCAUCUAAUUUCAAGCCACACAUAGGCGCCAUUUGAAAGCAUUUUGUGUUACAACCUAUCAACAAAAAUCAACUAAUAGUUUUAUAAUGUGCAUAGGUUUACCCCAUGGGGAAUUAAAAUUUUUAUCUGCAAGUAUUUCUGUUGUUGUGAGACUUUAGGACAAGACAACAUUUGGUAUUAACAUAGAAGAAUAUUCUAUGGCUUUUUUAGCUUUAAAGUUCAUUACUCUAAAAUAAAGUACACGUGGUAUUUUUUUCUUCCUAGUGUUCUCUUACUAUAUGUAGAGUAUUUUCGGUUGUUGUUUUUAAUGUAUACAUUAUUUUUAUUAAGUCAUUUGGUAAAAGAUAAGAUAUAUACUAAUAGACCCUUGGUUUUCUCCUAAUUUAAUUAUUUCAAGUCAAGCAAAAUUGGGCAAUUUUCUUUCAGGAAAAAAAAAAUAUUGAGCAUGAUUUUGAGGUAAAACUGAUUAUUUACAGCAUCUUUUCUCUAAUAGGCUAACAUUUAUGAUGGAUCUUAUUUCAAAGUUGAUUAUUCUCAAAGAAAAGUGGAGAUAUUAGAAUUUCCGAGUAAAUUGCAUUGUUUUAAAAAGUACUUUAAUGCAUUGUUCACAUUGUUGCCAGCUAUUGACCAAAAAAGAGAAGAAG
rnacentral:sRNA from 1 species